CUUUUUUUUUUUUUUUUUUUUCCAUUUUUUAUUAGGUAUUUCGCUCAUUUACAUUUGCAAUGCUAUACCAAAAGUCCCCCAUAGCCACCCACCCCCUCUCCCCUACCCACCCACUCCCCUUUUAUGGCCCUGGCGUUCCCCUGUACUGGGGCAUAUAAAGUUUGCGUGUCCAAUGGGCCUCUCUUUCGAGUGAUGGCCGACUAGGCCAUCUUUUGAUGCAUAUGCAGCUAGAGUCAAGAGCUCCGGGGUACUGGUUAGUUCAUAAUGUUGUUCCACCUAUAGGGUUGCAGAUCUCUUUAGCUUCUUUGGUACUUUCUCUAGCUCCUUCAUUGGGGGCCAUGUGAUCCAUCCAAUAGCCGACUGUGAGCAUCCACUUCUAUGUUUGCUAGGCCCAGGCAUACUCUGACAAGAGACAGCUAUAUCAGGGUCCUUUCAGCAUAAUCUUGCUAGUGUAUGCAAUGGUGUCAGCAUUUGGAAGCUGAUUAUGGGAUGGAUCCCCGGAUAUGCUAGUGUCUACAUGGUCCAUCCUUUUAUCUCAGCUCCAAACUUUGUCUCUGUAACUCCUUCCAAGGGUGUUUUGUUCCCACUUCUAAGGAGGGGCAUAGUGUUCACACUUCAGUCUUCAUUUUUCUUGAGUUUCAUGUGUUUAGGAAAUUGUAUCUUAUAUCUUGGGUAUCUUAGGUUUUGGGCUAAUAUCCACUUAUCAGUGAGUACAUAUUGUGUGAGUUCCUUUGUGAAUGUGUUACCUCACUCAGGAUGAUGCCCUCCAGGUCCAUCCAUUUGGCUAGGAAUUUCAUAAAUUCAUUCUUUUUAAUAGCUGAGUAGUACUCCAUUGUGUAGAUGUACCACAUUUUCUGUAUCCAUUCCUCUGUUGAGGGGCAUCUGGGUUCCUUCCAGCUUCUGGCUAUUAUAAAUAAGGCUGCUAUGAACAUAGUGGAGCAUGUGUCCUUCUUACCAGUUGGGGCAUCUUCUGGAUAUAUGCCCAGGAGAGGUAUUGCUGGAUCCUCCGGUAGUACUAUAUCCAGUUUUCUGAGGAACCGCCAGACUGAUUUCCAUAGUGGUUGUACAAGCCUGCAAUCCCACCAACAAUGGAGGAGUGUUCCUCUUUCUCCACAUCCACGCCAGCAUCUGCUGUCACCUGAAUUUUUGAUCUUAGCCAUUCUGACUGGUGUGAGGUGGAAUCUCAGGGUUGUUUUGAUUUGCAUUUCCCUGAUGAUUAAGGAUGUUGAGCAUUUUUUCAGGUGCUUCUCUGCCAUUCGGUAUUCCUCAGGUGAGAAUUCUUUGUUCAGUUCUGAGCCCCAUUUUUUAAUGGGGUUAUUUGAUUUUCUGAAGUCCACCUUCUUGAGUUCUUUAUAUAUGUUGGAUAUUAGUCCCCUAUCUGAUUUAGGAUAGGUAAAGAUCCUUUCCCAAUCUGUUGGUGGUCUUUUUGUCUUAUUGACGGUGUCUUUUGCCUUGCAGAAACUUUGGAGUUUCAUUAGGUCCCAUUUGUCAAUUCUCGAUCUUACAGAGCAAGCCAUUGCUGUUCUGUUCAGGAAUUUUUCCCCUGUACCCAUAUCUUCAAGGCUUUUCCCCACUUUCUCCUCUAUAAGUUUCAGUGUCUCUGGUUUUAUGUGAAGUUCCUUGAUCCACUUAGAUUUGACCUUAGUACAAGGAGAUAAGUAUGGAUCGAUUCACAUUCUUCUACAUGAUAACAACCAGUUGUGCCAGCACCAAUUGUUGAAAAUGCUGUCUUUCUUCCACUGGAUGGUUUUAGCUCCCUUGUCGAAGAUCAAGUGACCAUAGGUGUGUGGGUUCAUUUCUGGGUCUUCAAUUCUAUUCCAUUGGUCUACUUGUCUGUCUCUAUACCAGUACCAUGCAGUUUUUAUCACAAUUGCCCUGUAGUAAAGCUUUAGGUCAGGCAUGGUGAUUCCACCAGAGGUUCUUUUAUCCUUGAGAAGAGUUUUUGCUAUCCUAGGUUUUUUGUUAUUCCAGAUGAAUUUGCAAAUUGCUCCUUCUAAUUCGUUGAAGAAUUGGGUUGGAAUUUUGAUGGGGAUUGCAUUGAAUCUGUAGAUUGCUUUUGGCAAGAUAGCCAUUUUUACAAUGUUGAUCCUGCCAAUCCAUGAGCAUGGGAGAUCUUUCCAUCUUCUGAGAUCUUCUUUAAUUUCUUUCUUCAGAGACUUGAAGUUUUUAUCAUACAGAUCUUUUACUUCCUUAGUUAGAGUCACGCCGAGAUAUUUUAUAUUAUUUGUGACUAUUGAGAAGGGUGUUGUUUCCCUAAUUUCUUUCUCAGCCUGUUUAUUCUUUGUGUAGAGAAAGGCCAUUGACUUGUUUGAGUUAAUUUUAUAUCCAGCUACUUCACCAAAGCUGUUUAUCAGGUUUAGGACUUCUCUGGUGGAAUUAUUAGGGUCACUUAUAUAUACUAUCAUAUCAUCUGCAAAAAGUGAUAUUUUGACUUCCUCUUUUCCAAUUUGUAUCCCCUUGAUCUCCUUUUGUUGUCGAAUUGCUCUGGCUAAUACUUCAAGUACUAUGUUGAAAAGGUAGGGAGAAAGUGGGCAACCUUGUCUAGUCCCUGAUUUUAGUGGGAUUGCUUCCAGCUUCUCUCCAUUUACUUUGAUGUUGGCUACUGGUUUGCUGUAGAUUGCUUUUAUCAUGUUUAGGUAUGGGCCUUGAAUUCCUGAUCUUUCCAAAACUUUUAUCAUGAAUGGGUGUUGGAUCUUGUCAAAUGCUUUUUCUGCAUCUAACGAGAUGAUCAUGUGGUUUUUGUCUUUGAGUUUGUUUAUAUAAUGGAUUACAUUGAUGGACUUUCGUAUAUUAAACCAUCCCUGCAUCCCUGGAAUAAAACCUACUUGGUCAGGAUGGAUGAUUUCUUUAAUGUGUUCUUGGAUUCGGUUAGCGAGAAUUUUAUUAAGGAUUUUUGCAUCGAUAUUCAUAAGAGAAAUUGGUCUGAAGUUCUCUAUCUUUGUUGGAUCUUUCUGUGGUUUAGGUAUCAGAGUAAUAGUGGCUUCAUAAAAUGAGUUGGGUAGAGUACCUUCUACUUCUAUCUUGUGAAAUAGUUUGUGCAGAACUGGAAUUAGAUCUUCUUUGAAGGUCUGAUAGAACUCUGCACUAAACCCAUCUGGUCCUGGGCUUUUUUUGGCUGGGAGACUAUUAAUAACUGCUUCUAUUUCUUUAGGGGAUAUGGGACUGUUUAGAAGGUCAACUUGAUCCUGAUUCAACUUUGGUACCUGGUAUCUGUCCAGAAAUUUGUCCAUUUCGUCCAGGUUUUCCAGUUUUGUUGAGUAUAAGCUUUUGUAGAAGGAUCUGAUGGUGUUUUGGAUUUCUUCAGGAUCUGUUGUUAUGUCUCCCUUUUCAUUUCUGAUUUUGUUGAUUAGGAUUUUGUCCCUUUGCCCUCUAGUGAGUCUAGCUAAGGGCUUAUCUAUCUUGUUGAUUUUCUCAAAGAACCAACUCCUCGUUUGGUUAAUUCUUUGAAUAGUUCUUCUUGUUUCCACUUGGUUAAUUUCACCCCUGAGUUUGAUUAUUUCCUGCCGUCUACUCCUCUUGGGUGAAUUUGCUUCCUUUUUUUCUAGAGCUUUUAGAUGUGUUGUCAAGCUGCUAGUAUGUGCUCUCUCCCGUUUCUUCUUGGAGGUACUCAGAGCUAUGAGUUUCCCUCUUAGAAAUGCUUUCAUUGUGUCCCAAAGGUUUGGGUACGUUGUGGCUUCAUUUUCAUUAAACUCUAAAAAGUCUUUAAUUUCUUUCUUUAUUCCUUCCUUGACCAAGGUAUCAUUGAGAAGAGUGUUGUUCAGUUUCCACGUGAAUGUUGGCUUUCCAUUCUUAAUGUUGUUAUUGAAGAUCAGUCUUAGGCCAUGGUUGUCUGAUAGGAUACAUGGGACAAUUUCAAUAUUUUUGUAUCUGUUGAGGCCUAUUUUGUGACCAAUUAUAUGGUCAAUUUUGGAGAAGGUCCCGUGAGGUGCUGAGAAGAAGGUAUAUCCUUUUGUUUUAGGAUUAAAUAUUCUGUAAAUAUCUGUCAGGUCCAUUUGUUUCAUAACUUCUGUUAGUUUCACUGUGUCCCUGUUUAGUUUCUGUUUCCACGAUCUGUCCAUUGAUGAAAGUGGUGUGUUGAGGUCUCCCACUAUUAUUGUGUGAGGUGCAAUGUGUGCUUUGAGCUUUACUAAAGUGUCUUUAAUGAAUGUGGCUGCCCUUGCAUUUGGAGCGUAGAUAUUCAGAAUUGAGAGUUCCUCUUGGAGGAUUUUACCUUUGAUGAGUAUGAAGUGUCCCUCCUUGUCUUUUUUGAUAACUUUGGGUUGGAAGUCGAUUUUAUCCGAUAUUAGAAUGGCUACUCCAGCCUGUUUCUUCAGACCAUUUGCUUGGAAAAUUGUUUUCCAGCCUUUCACUCUGAGGUAGUGUCUGUCUUUUUCCCUGAGAUGGGUUUCCUGUAAGCAGCAGAAUGUUGGGUCCUGUUUGUGUAGCCAGUCUGUUAGUCUAUGUCUUUUUAUUGGGGAAUUGAGUCCAUUGAUAUUAAGAGAUAUUAAGGAAAGGUAAUUGUUGCUUCCUGUUAUUUUUGUUGUUAAAGUUGGCAUUCUGUUCUUGUGGCUGUCUUCUUUUAGGUUUGUUGAGGGAUUAUCUUCUUGUUUUUUCUAGGGCGUGGUUCCCGUCCUUGUAUUGGUUUUUUUCUGUUAUUAUCCUUUGAAGGGCUGGAUUCGUGGAGAGAUAAUGGGUGAAUUUAGUUUUGUCGUGGAAUACUUUGGUUUCUCCAUCUAUGGUAAUUGAGAGUUUGGCUGGGUAUAGUAGCCUGGGCUGGCAUUUGUGUUCUCUUAGUGUCUGUAUAACAUCUGUCCAGGCUCUUCUGGCUUUCAUAGUCUCUGGUGAAAAAUCUGGUGUAAUUCUGAUAGGCUUGCCUUUAUAUGUUACUUGACCUUUUUCCCUUACUGCUUUUAGUAUUCUAUCUUUAUUUAGUGCAUUUGGUGUUCUGAUUAUUAUGUGUCGGGAGGAAUUUCUUUUCUGGUCCAGUCUAUUUGGAGUUCUGUAGGCUUCUUGUAUGUUCAUGGGCAUCUCUUUCUUUAGAUUUGGGAAGUUUUCUUCAAUAAUUUUGUUGAAGAUGUUUGCUGGUCCUUUGAGUUGAAAAUCUUCAUUCUCAUCCACUCCUAUUAUCCGUAGGUUUGGUCUUCUCAUUGUGUCCUGGAUUUCCUGGAUGUUUUGAGUUAGGAUCUUUUUGCAUUUUCCAUUUUCUUUGAUUGUUGUGCCGAUGUUCUCUAUGGAGUCUUCUGCACCUGAGAUUCUCUCUUCCAUCUCUUGUAUUCUGUUGCUGAUGCUGGCAUCUAUGGUUCCAGAUUUCUUUCCUAGGGUUUCUAUCUCCAGCGUCGCCUCACUUUGGGUUUUCUUUAUUGUGUCUACUUCCCUUUUUAGGUCUAGUAUGGUUUUGUUCAUUUCCAUCACCUGUUUGGAUGUGUUUUCCUGUUUUUCUAUAAGGACUUCUACCUGUUUGGUUGUGUUUUCCUGUUUUUCUUUAAGGACUUGUAACUCUUUAGCAGUGUUUUCCUGUUUUUCUUUAAGGACUUGUAACUCUUUAGCAGUGUUCUCCUGUAUUUCUUUAAGUGAGUUAUUGAAUUCCUUCUUUAUGUCCUCUACCAUCAUCAUGAGAUAUGCUUUUAAAUCCAGGUCUACCUUUUCAGGUGUGUUAGGGUGUCCUGGAUUGGGCGAAGUGGGCGUUCUGGGUUCUGAUGAUGGUGAGUGGUCCUGGCUUCUGUUAGUAGGAUUCUUACGUUUACCUUUCGCCAUCUGGCAAUCUCUGGAGUUAGUUGUUAUAGUUGUCUUUGUUAAGAGAUUGUUCCUCUGUUGAUUUUGUUACCCUCUAUCAGCAGGCGUGGGAGACAAGCUCUCUUCUCUGAGUUUCAGUGGUCAGAGCAGUCUCUGUAGGCAAGCUCUCCUCUUUCAGGGAAGGUGUACAGUUAUCUGGUGUUUGGACCUCCUCCUGGCUGAAGGUGAAGGCCCAAAACAGGAUCUUUCCCAGAAGCUGUGUUGCUUUGGCCAGGAAGGUGGCCAGUUGUCUGGAGUCGAAGAUGUCGCCGCCUGAGAAGCUCUGUGGCUCUUGUCCGGAAGGAGGCCGGCCGUCUGGAGCUGAGCAUGGCGCUGCCUCAGAAGCUCUGUGGCUCUUGCCGGGAAGGUGGCUGGUUGUCUGGAGCUGAAGAUGGCGCCACCCAGAAGCUCUGCGACUCUCGCCCGUCCCAGAAACGGCUGGCACUCUGUAUUCCACACGUCACCCGUGCAGCCUGCCCUCCGCGGAGUCCCGGAGCCAAGAAGGCUCCCGCCGGCGCCUGUGCCACAAACCUCUCAGGCCUGGCAGACCCCCGUGCUCUCACCAGGAAGGUGGCCGGCUAUCUGGAGCUGAAGAUGGCGCCGCCCAGAAGCUCUGCGACUCUCGCCCGUCCCAGAAACGGCUGGCACUCUGUAUUCCACACGGUCACCCGUGCAGCCUGCCCUCCGCGGAGUCCCGGAGCCAAGAAGGCUCCCGCCGGCGCCUGUGCCACAAACCUCUCAGGCCUGGCAGACCCCCGUGCUCUCACCAGGAAGGUGGCCGGCUAUCUGGAGCUGAAGAUGGCGCCGCCCAGAAGCUCUGCGACUCUCGCCCGUCCCAGAAAUGGCUGGCACUCUGUAUUCCACACGGUCACCCGUGCAGCCUGCCCUCCGCGGAGUCCCGGAGCCAAGAAGGCUCCCGCCGGCGCCUGUGCCACAAACCUCUCAGGCCAGGCAGACCCCCGUGCUCUCACCAGGAAGGUGGCCGGCUGUCUGGAGCUGAAGAUGGCGCCGCCCAGAAGCUAGGGAUGGUUUCUUACCCAUUAUUCUCCAUUAAGAUCCUGGCCUAGGCUACCAGGAACAUGUAAAUAAGAAAAGGAGUAUGAGAAAACAAAACAGAUAGAUUGCCAUGAGAACUACAGCUCAAUAUUUUUUUCCUCUGGCAAAGAGUUCCACAACCAGUUCCAGGAGGCCUCCCCCUUUUGAGGUCAGUCGCUUCAGUCUGUGGAACUUGUCACAUAGAUCCUACUGGAGGUGGUGUGGCACAAAACACCAUCCUUUUUAUAUUGGACAUUUAGAGCUCAUUCUGAUCUUCCCGGACCUUUGGCUGCAGGCAAUGAUUGUAUUGACAGAGAGAGCUUCAAUAGGAGAAGCUUUAGUUUCAGAUCCUAUUGUUUUGGCUAAAUGUGAUCAUAAUAAAUUUCAUCUUUCUAGUCCUACCUUAAGGCUCUGACAUAAGAUCGCUAAGGAGCAAGCUAGAAUGAUUAUAAAACUAUGUCCUGACUAUCUUCCAUUGUCUCAAGUUUCUCAUUUAGGGGUUAAUCCACAAGGCCUUAUGCCCAAUCAUAUUUGGCAACUGGAUGUAACUCGUUAUUCAGAAUUUGGAAAAUUGAAAUAUAUACAUGUCUGUAUUGACACUUGUUCAGGAUUCAUUUUUGCUUCUCUACACACAGGAAAAGCUUCUAGAAAUGUAAUUGAUAUUGCUUACAGGCUUUUACUGCUAUGAGGUUGCCUAAAAUCAUCAAGACAGAUAAUGGCCCUGCUUAUACUGGAAACAACUUUAUACAAUUUUGUAAGGAAUUUGGAAUUAAACAUAAAACUGGAAUUCCUUAUAACCUAUGGGACAAGGAAUUGUUGAACGUGCGCGUUGUACUCUGAAAAAUUGGCUUUGGAAAAAAAAGGGGAAUCAUAUCCCUGUACACCACAAAAAUAUUAAAAUUUCUAUACCAAGGAA